rnacentral:lncRNA from 7 species
ACACACAAGGGAAGCUGGCUGGGGUGGGGUAAGGCUUCUUAAGUUAGACAAGAGUAGACGCAGAAGUGUUUGUAUGAGGAUUGGCAGCACCAGAAGACAAAGGCUAUGUUUUUGCUUGAACUUUAAUGAAAUUUAUGGAGAAUCCUCCGCUUACUGUGUCAUACUAGUACUUGUAAUUGGUAACAAAGCAAAUGAGCAAAUGGAGCUAGGGGAAGAUGCACAAAUUGUACUGGUAAGCUUUGGACCUGCGCGUGAGGCACCUGGUGGUGAACAACCUCAUCUUUCAGAAUGGUCACCUGUGGCCCUGUGAGUUGCCUUUGGCCAGGACCGGAUAAUUCAUGAGGAGAGAGACUCCAUCCUAAGACUGGUUGACUACUUUAUUGACCGUAUUGGCCAAGUAUCUUCAAACGGACUGGGAGUUUUCAGCGACGUCAAUAUUACUUCAUGUCAUGGCAGCUGACUAGACAAACUGGAGACUCAAUUCCUAAACUGGUUAGCUUUUGAAGUGGAUGAGCAGCACGCUGUACCUUCAGCUUCUCCUUCACUUCCCUCCUGCUGUCUGGAUGUGCAGUGGCAAGUUUCCCACCCUCUUCAUCUCUUACGUUUUUGGUGCGAGUGAAAAGCAACUGAAAAGCUGAGACCUCACCCAAGCACAUGUUGAGAUGUGGGACAAUCUGUGGGCUGUGAAAUGUUUGUCACUGAAGGCUGCUGGUAAGGAAAUGAACCCCAAGCACUGCAUUUGAAAUAGUGCUAGGGGAUGCCCAUCAUCUUGUAAUAUUUCACUACUGCAUCUGUCCUCCAUGUCAGGAGAAAAUCCCUCGUCUUCUGGGAAAGUGACAUUUUUUUCUGUGGCUUACAUCCUUGUGCGUCUCAUCCCCUCUGUGUGGGAGACCAUGCUGAGACCCAAGCUGAUGUGUAUGGAAAUGCUUUCCUUCAAGUGCCUUGGGACUGACAUACAGCUGUCACUCUCUGGUGUGAAUAACAGGAAAUUUAAUUUGUUGGGUGGAAAGAGUUAAAUGAACUUUAACUGAAAACCUCUAUCUCUCCCUCUCAGGGUAGAAAAUAGCCAAGGGCAACAGCGGAUGACUAAUGUGUAGAAUAUUGCAAUUAGUAUAGCAAGGUACUUACAGGGAUCAAAUUAAAAAAUUCAUUAACGUACGCACUUAAUUAAGAAACACUUUUCGGUUUACAUGAUAAAUUAUGACACCUAUUAAAUCUUCUAGUACAAGCUGUAAUGGCUUCUUUGCUCCUGGGCAGAGAACUAUUGCCUUUGAGGUCCUUUGAACCUCCCCAAGGACCGACAGCAUCAGUUACAAGUGUGUUAAAAACAAUGCUUUUUUUUCCUGCGAGGAACAAACCCUGCUUUACUGGGAACUAAUUUAAAGUUAAGCAAGCAGCCUGAGGAUUAGGAGACCUGUCAAACUGCAAACACAGUGGAUGGUGAAACAAACAAGAAACGACCUUGAGAAUAACUGAAGAGUGAAGUUAGCGCAAUGCUGGGUUGCCAUGAGGCAGCAGGAUGCUUCUGAUGGGACUCCAUCUGCACAUGUCCCCUGUGGCUUCGGUUGGAUGCCACCCGGCCAGCCUGGCACAAAUGCAGUGUUGGGAACCUUGGAAAAGGGAUUUCUCGGGGUUGGGUCAUUGGUUCCAAGUUUUCCUUUCUUGUUGGGGUUUAUUUCAGGUGCUGUGAUCUGGUGGCGCAGCAUGGAAUCAGGCUCUAGUUCUGCUGCAGCAGUAAUGUGAGUUAUUUAGAGAGGAAUCUGGUGAUUGUGACAGUUCUAUUGGAAAAAAAUAGAUGUAAGAUGCAGUUUAUUAAGUUCCUGCUAUUGCGGUUUAGAAAGAAAAAAACAACAAUCUAGAUCCAACUGAUGAAAAUGUUUUAGCCUUAUUUUGGUUUUCUUAUUGGAAAGGAAGUAGUUUUGAACUGCAAAGUCUGGACCACCUGUUUGCAAUGGAUUGCUAGAGAGCACUCUGACCUCUAGGAGAAAGCUUUUCCAUUUUACUUCC